rnacentral:lncRNA from 1 species
AUGAGGGAGUCCUCCCAAAUGCAGACUCUUGCUGUCUCACCCAGUGCCAGAUGUGCUCCCAUUCCUUCGGAGUUGAGUCCCUGGUUUAGUGCUCAGGAUGCUUUCCUCACUGUGCCUCUGGGACAGUCCCUGCUGGUGCCUUUUGGGCUGUCCCCUGUGCUGCUGUGCCUCUUCAGCUCCCCUCAGCCUUGCUCCACCAAGGCUCCUCACACAGCAGUGUUCUGUCUCAGUGCAGUGUUCCUCUCACACAGCAGUGUUCUGUCUCAGUGCAGUGUUCCCCUCACACAGCACUGUUCUGUCUCAGUGCAGUGUUCCUCUCAUACACCAGUGUUCUCAGUGCAGCACCCUAUCCUUGUACGUUUCCCUCAUACACCAGUGUUCUCAGUGCAGCACCCUCCUGACACUGGGUUGUGCUUAUUUCUGCUUCCAGCUGUUGUCCAGCAGCUCCUGACUCUGGGUUGUGCUUAUCUCUGCUUCCAGCUGUUGUCCAGCAGCACAGAAACCUUUGAAACAACAUCUUUGGUUAGGGAAACGGCUUAAUGGAUCUUAAAUGCUCCCUCCCAAUUUACUACUUUGUUUGGUUUAUUGUGGCGUUAUUUUGUUUGGGGUUUUUGUUUGGGUUUUUCUAACCAGCCUUGGAACUGCGGCCGUCCUUGCUGAUCUCGGGGCUACGAGAUGUUGGGGCAUUGGGGUGGAGAGUUUCCUCUGCACAGUGGCUGUGAUGACACGAGCGUGCCGCUGGCGUCUGGCUGCGCCGCACAGCUCUGACAGCCUGUGCUUUGUGCUGGCCCUGGGAGCUGGCCAGGGCUUGCGGAGCAGGGAUUGUUUUCCCCGCUCCUGGGGCCCUUUGCGGUCUGUGCGCCGUGGCCUGCUCGUGGCUGCGUGUGAUCCCCCUCACACCCGGCAGGGAAGGCGCCUCUCGGGGCCAGGGGCAGCUCUGCGGGGACAAGGUGGGCAGAGCAGCGUGGUGUCAGCACAGGCAGUGUGAAUCCCAGCAGCUCCAGCCUGCUUAGCUACUCCUGCUGAUGGUGCCCACACCAAAACCCCCUCCCUAAAUCAACCCGGUCAGUAAAUCAUCCCGUUUAUCUUGAUUACCACGAAAAUGCAGGGAACAGUCUAUUGGAUAGAAGGAAUCCUACUCAAAAUAGCAUGUGCAAAAACACCCUGUUAGUUUCUGUGUGACCUGACUCCUGCAUGUUUGUAAAAAUAAAUGUUUCCUUUAAUAUGUAAUCAAGGAAAUAAUUUGUGCUUGCUUUCUUUUUUUUUUUUUUUUUUUUUUUUUUUUUGCCAAAAAAGGGGGGGGGGGGGGGGGGGGGGGGGGGGGGGGGGGGGGGGGGGGGGGGGGGGGGGGGGGGGGGGGGGGGGGGGGGGGGGGGGGGGGGGGGGGGGGGGGGGGGGGGGG